AUUUAACGAGCUUCAUGGCUUGUAGGGCUAACAUUUUGGCAUAAGAUUUUUGCCAGCACAUAUAUCUGUGUCGCCCAUCUCUACUCUGCGCCCAACUAUCCAACUAUCGCCGACUAUCUAUCUAACUAUUGUGAGUACUUGUCAUUUAGCUUACUAUUUACUGUCACGCUUUUGAGUGCCCCUCGGAUGGAAAUGGGAAUGGAAAUGGGUCUGCGGCCGAAGGGGCUUGGCUUACUGGGAAGGGCCGUCCGAGAGAUAUCCAUUCGGGAGUGUAGGGAACUUCAGAGUUUCAGAGGACCGAGUCAGUCGACUGACCCGCGAUAAAGCCAGUUGUUUGGCCAGUGAAUCAGCGAGUGAAAAAAAACACAUAUUAGUAAAUUUCUAGCUAGUAAAUCAAAUUGUUGCAGUCGAGCAGGAAGCCUGGUCUUGACUUGGCCAAGAGGAAACUGGCGAUUAUAGUUCAAAUAAGAGAGGCAGCCGGAAGAACUUCAUUGCUUGUCAUCUGCUAGGAGUAUGUUUUUCUUACUCCACCCUUUUGGUUUUCCUGCAGGUAAAUGUUUUUCUACUUUGCUGAUUAAUCCUAUGUGCAU